AUUGAACGCUGGCGGCAGGCCUAACACAUGCAAGUCGAGCGAGCGGCGGACGGGUGAGUAAUGUCUGGGAAACUGCCUGAUGGAGGGGGAUAACUACUGGAAACGGUAGCUAAUACCGCAUACCAUCAGAUGUGCCCCGAUGGGAUUAGCUAGUAGGUGGGGUAACGGCUCACCUAGGCGACGAUCCCUAGCUGGUCUGAGAGGAUGACCAGCCACACGUGAACGGAGCAACGGUCCAGAAUCCUACGCGAGGCAGCAGUGUGGAAUAUUGCACAAUGGGCGCAAGCCUGAUGCAGCCAUGCCGCGUGUGUGAAGAAGGCCUUCGGGUUGUAAAGCACUUUCAGCGGGGAGGCGUUACCCGCAGAAGAAGCACCGGCUAACUCCGUGCCAGCCGCCGCGGUAAUUC
rnacentral:rRNA from 1 species